UACGAGUGAUGUGCCUGAAGAACUUGC
rnacentral:sRNA from 1 species